UUUUUUUUCAUCGACAGGUGACAUCAUGACUUGGGAUAUUUGUUUUCAUAUCCCGAGUCAUGUAUAGAAUCGGCAGGUGACAUCAUGACUCGGCGUGUAUGAUGUUUUCAAGGGUGAUUGGGAUAUUUGUUUUCAUCGGCAAGUGACAUCAUGACUCGGCGUAUAUGACAUUUUCAAGGGUAAUUGGGAUAUUUGUAUGUUUUCAAGGGUAAUUAGGAUAUUUGUUUUCAUCGGCAAGUGACAUCAUGACUCGGUGUGUAUGACGUUUUCAAAGGUAAUUGGGAGAUUUGUUUUCAAGGGUAAUUGGGAUACUUGUUUUCAUCGGCAACAUCAUAGGUAAUUGGGAUAUUUGUUUUCAUGGGUAAUUGGGAUAUUUGCUUUCAUCGGCAACAUUAUGACUCGGUGAGAUCAUGACUCGGUGUGUAUGACGUUUUCAAAGGUAAUUGGGAUAUUUGCUUUCAAGGGUAAUUGGGAUAUUUGUUUUCAUCAGCAACAUCAUGACUCGAUGUGUAUGACGUUUUCAAAGGUAAUUGGGAUAUUUGUUUUCAACGGUAAUUGGGAUAUUUGUUUCACCGAUAGGUGACAUCAUGACUCGGCUUGUAUGACGUUUUCAAGGGUAAUUGGGAGCACUAAGUUGAUAUCACCCACGCACAAUCACGUGCCCCAUGUCCCAUUCACUCACGAGCUGCGUGCCCCAUGUCCC
rnacentral:lncRNA from 1 species